rnacentral:rRNA from 1 species
GUGGGGAAUAUUGCACAAUGGGGGAAACCCUGAUGCAGCCAUGCCGCGUGUGUGAAGAAGGCCUUCGGGUUGUAAAGCACUGUCUUCAGGGACGAUAAUGACGGUACCUGAGGAGGAAGCCACGGCUAACUACGUGCCAGCAGCCGCGGUAAUACGUAGGUGGCAAGCGUUGUCCGGAUUUACUGGGCGUAAAGGGAGCGUAGGCGGACCUUUAAGUGAGAUGUGAAAUCCCCGAGCUUAACUUGGGGGCUGCAUUUCAAACUGGAGGUCUAGAGUGCAGGAGAGGAGAGUGGAAUUCCUAGUGUAGCGGUGAAAUGCGUAGAGAUGAGGAAGAACACCAGUGGCGAAGGCGACUCUCUGGACUGUAACUGACGCUGAGGCUCGAAAGCGUGGGGAGCAAACAGGAUUAGAAACCCGGGUAGUCC